GCUUUUCCACAGGAGGACAACUCGAAAACCCUCGCUCACGAGCUCGCCGCCUCCGCCCCCGCCCCCGCCGGCCGCCGGCAAUGGAGGGCGUCCACAGCCUCCUCUCCCGGCCCAACUCCGCGCCGUUCGCCUUCUCCCUCCCGGCGGCCACGCACCGGCGCCCCAAGCCGCCGCCGCCCCCCGUCGCCUGCCGCGCCGCCAGCCGCUGGGCCGACCGCCUCUUCGCCGACUUCCACCUCCUCCCCACUGCCGCCGCCGCCGACCCGCCGGCCGCGGCCUCCCCCUCCUCGUCCCCGUUCGUCCCGAUCUUCCCCGACACCGCCGACCGCGCCUUGCCCCUCCCUGUCGACUUCUACAAGAUUCUCGGAGCGGAGCCACAUUUUCUUGGUGAUGGCAUUAGGAGGGCCUUUGAGGCACGGAUAGCCAAGCCACCACAGUAUGGCUACAGCACAGAAGCUCUUGUUGGGCGUCGGCAAAUGCUGCAGCUUGCCCAUGAUACUCUGACAAACCAGAGCUCCCGUACUGAGUACGAUCGUUCACUUUCUGAGGACCGUGAUGCGACACUCACCAUGGAUGUUGCCUGGGAUAAGGUUCCAGGGGUGCUGUGUGUACUUCAGGAGGCUGGGGAGGCACAGCUAGUUCUUGCAACAGGAGAGCAGUUGCUUCAGGACCGUCCACCUAAGCGGUUCAAACAGGAUGUGGUGCUAGCAAUGGCACUGGCUUAUGUGGACCUAUCAAGGGACGCGAUGGCUGCAAGCCCUCCAGAUGUAAUCCACUGCUGUGAGGUGCUCGAGAGGGCACUCAAGCUUCUGCAGGAGGAUGGUGCGAGCAAUCUUGCACCCGAUCUGCUUUCACAGAUUGAUGAAACUUUGGAGGAAAUUACACCUCGUUGUGUAUUGGAGCUACUUGCUCUUCCUAUUGAUGAAAAACAUAAUAAUAAACGCCAAGAAGGUCUGCAAGGUGCAAGAAACAUAUUGUGGAGUGUUGGUAGAGGCGGUAUUGCUACUGUUGGAGGAGGAUUUUCUCGCGAGGCCUUCAUGAAUGAGGCCUUUUUGCGGAUGACAUCAGCUGAGCAGAUGGAUUUCUUCUCUAAAACACCGAAUAGCAUACCACCAGAAUGGUUUGAAAUCUAUAGUGUGGCACUUGCAAAUAUUGCUCAAGCAAUUGCAAGUAAAAGGCCACAAUUCAUCAUGAUGGCAGAUGAUCUUUUUGAACAACUUCAGAAGUUCAAUAUAGGUUCUCAAUAUCCUUAUGAAAAUGAGAUGGACCUCGCGUUGGAACGGGCACUCUGCUCGUUACUGGUGGGAGAUAUUAGCAAUUGCAGAAUGUGGCUUGGAAUUGAUAAUGAGUCCUGGCCAUAUAGAGACCCCAAAAUUAUUGAGUUUGUGGUGAAUAACUCUAGCAUCGAUGAAGAGAAUGAUCUUCUUCCAGGGCUGUGCAAGCUUUUGGAGAGUUGGCUUGUCUCUGAGGUUUUCCCAAGGAGCAGAGAUACUCGUGGGAUGCAAUUCAGACUUGGUGACUAUUAUGAUGACCCAAAAGUUUUAAGCUACCUAGAAAGGAUGGAAGGUGGUGGGGCUUCUCAUUUGGCUGCAGCUGCUGCUAUAGCAAAACUUGGUGCUCAAGCUACAGCUGUGCUUGGUACGGUAACAUCAAGUGCUCUUCAAGCAUUCAGCAAUGUUUUCCCAUUGAUAGAACAGCUAGACAGAUCAGACAAAGAAAAUCCUAGCGAUGAUCUGGAGAAAUCUCUUGAAAAGCUUGCCCCACAGCAUGUUACUGGAGAUGUCAUCAAUGAUUCCAGAAAUGCUGCUUUGAAGAUUAUCUCUGCUGGUGCAUUGUUUGCACUAUUUGCAGUAAUAGGCCUAAAGUGCUUGCCUCGUAAGAAGUCACUUCCUGCUAUUAGGAGUGAGCAUGGGUCUGUGGCAGUUGCUGAGUCCGUUGGUGGUGGGUAAACUUGUGAUCAAAUAACAUUACUUUCUUCAAGUCAUUGGAUUUUGAUUGACAUUUCCAGCAAAGCUAUGUACCAAAUAUUCCACAAAAAUGUUUCUGGAACCAUAAUACUUCCUGGCCCUAUAUGUCCAGCAGCAGAUGAAGAACCACUAGAAAUUCCUAGAAUGGAUGCAAAGUUGGCUGAAGAUAUUGUUCGCAAGUGGCAGAGUAUCAAGUCCAAGGCUUUGGGUCCAGAACACUCUGCUGUAGUAUUGCAAGAGGUUCUUGACGGCAAUAUGCUGAAGGUAUGGACUGAUCGAGCUACAGAGAUUGCGCGCCAUGGAUGGUUCUGGGAGUACACACUGUCCGACGUGACAAUUGACAGUGUCACUGUCUCAGUGGACGGCCGACGUGCAACAGUGGAGGCGACGAUUGAGGAGGUGGGCCAACUUACAGACGUAGCAGACCCUAAGAACAAUGAUUCAUACGACACAAAGUACACUACGCGCUAUGAGAUGGCCUACUCGAAAUCAGGAGGGUGGAGGAUAACCGAAGGAGCAGUCCUCAAGUCAUAGAACGGUGUGCUGUAGCAGUAGCAGUAGCUGUAGCUUAAUUCCCUUUCAGUUUUGCACUGUAAAUACAACGGGUUCUUCUCAGUCCUAGAGAGCUUGAUUAGGUUGGUCUGUGACGAGUUCCGCCGGUGGAAAAAAAUUGUCGCUAAGGCAUAUGCUCUUCGUUUAGUUUGUAUUAGUUGGAGGUUUGAGAUAGAUCCUUUGAAGCAAUGGACGGCAGAGACUUGCUGAUCAGAUUGUGUUAGGGAAAGUGUUUUUGGUUGGAUCCUGUAAGGAAAAGGCAGUACAAGAUGAGAUGAGAUCCUAGUGGUAGGCGUAAGUGCCACUGGCUUACCACAUCACUGCAUCAGACAAAGGUCACUGCUUACCACAUCAGAUCAUUUGCCUGUGGCUGUGGCUCCAUACCAUUGCUGGGUUUUAUGCUCAUUUCAUUUCCCAGAUUUGUCCGAGGAGAAUGAGAUUGUAAAUCUCCUUGGAAAUAAGUUACAUCAAACUGUAUUUAUUUUAUUCCACAGAUAUAUUCAGAUGGAAAUAGAUAGUUGGAAUUGAAAC